CCUGCCGUUGCCGGCGACCGGCGCACGGGUGAGUAACACGUAUGCAACCUGCCCGUGGCAGGGGGAUAAGCGGGGGAAACCCCGUCUAAUACCGCGUAACGCGGCCUAGGGACAUCCCAAGGCCGCCAAAGGGAGCAAUCCCGGCCACGGAUGGGCAUGCGGCGCAUUAGCUAGUCGGCGGGGUAACGGCCCACCGAGGCGACGAUGCGUAGGGGUUCUGAGAGGAAGGCCCCCCACACUGGUACUGAGACACGGGCCAGACUCCUACGGGAGGCAGCAG
rnacentral:rRNA from 1 species